UUACAAUUUGAAAGAUCUUUCACAAGCCGUUUUAAUAUAAUAACAUGCAUGCAUUUCACAGACUCUUCAUAUAAAACACACAUACACAUACAAAUAUAUAUACACAUGCAACCAUAUGUGCAAUAUUCUCAAGCAGCAGAAGAACCGUUGCCUGCGAAUUCGCCGUAUUGUGAACGGCUUACACUUGCUGCUGUUGGCUGUGAAUGAAUGAAUAAAUGCGCGCAUUGCUCAAGCUACGUAAAUUGGCGCAGGCAAUAAAAGAGAAUUGAUUGGAAGCAAAGAACCGUUUCUGCGAAUUCGCCGCAUGGUGAAUGAGUGGCUUGACAUCGUCAAUAUGAAGCGAAAUGGAAAUAAAUGCGCGCAUUGCUUAGUCUAUGUAAAAUGGCGCAGUGAAUAGAAGUGAAUUGAAUUGAGGCAACGCUUGUGAAAUGGGCUGUUUAUCGAGGCUCCUGGACGCCAAUUUGUUAUAUUCUAUUGAGACGUAUACGAUUGCGGUCAAGGGCCACUGAACCGACACGACUUGCAUGACGUGCACACAUCUCUUUUGCUAAUUAUGCUCCAUAUCUAACUGGACCCAGGCGCGACCUCGUUCCUGCUGCGGCCUUUGUUGCCGCACAGUUGCCAGCGUUAAUUGAGACGCCGUGUGGCGUACCAGUUCCUGGGUCGGCGGACUACUGGGACUGGGCACAGCCGCUGGGACCGAGCCAACAUCCGUCUAUAUAAAUAUAUCUGAAAUAUCAAAGCAUCAUCAAUCAAAACUGACUAAAAACCAAAGACAGAGCCGUGAAACUCAACGCAAGUAAAAUCCAUCCAAUAAUAUCAAAUUCAAUUUAAUUAAAUUAAAUCAAGUAAAACACAAACAUGAAAAAAAUAAAAUUUCAAGUCGAAUCAGAACUCAAAACUAGCUAAAUUCCAAGUUACAAAAAAAUUGGUAACUAAAAAACAGAACAAACAUUUGAGCAAACAAUCAAAAAAAAAACGUUAAAACAAUGUGUGUAAUAAAACUGGAAGUCCUUUGGGACUUCCAUUUAGUCCCGAAGAUCAAUGAAUUCCAAGACUCCAAAGUACUUUAAGCAUAAUAAAAAAUUGAACAA